rnacentral:rRNA from 1 species
AACGAACGCUGGCGGCAGGCUUAACACAUGCAAGUCGAGCGCACCGCAAGGUGAGCGGCAGACGGGUGAGUAACGCGUGGGAAUCUACCGAGCCCUAAGGAAUAGCUCCGGGAAACUGGAAUUAAUACCUUAUACGCCCUUCGGGGGAAAGAUUUAUCGGGGUUUGAUGAGCCCGCGUUGGAUUAGCUAGUUGGUGGGGUAAAGGCCUACCAAGGCGACGAUCCAUAGCUGGUCUGAGAGGAUGAUCAGCCACAUUGGGACUGAGACACGGCCCAAACUCCUACGGGAGGCAGCAGUGGGGAAUAUUGGACAAUGGGCGCAAGCCUGAUCCAGCCAUGCCGCGUGAGUGAUGAAGGCCCUAGGGUUGUAAAGCUCUUUCACCGGUGAAGAUAAUGACGGUAACCGGAGAAGAAGCCCCGGCUAACUUCGUGCCAGCCGCCGCGGUAAUAC